rnacentral:misc_RNA from 1 species
GAUGAAGAACGUAGCAAAAUGCGAUAAGUAAUGUGAAUUGCAGAAUUCAGUGAAUCAUCGAAUCUUUGAACGUACAUUGCGCCCGCUGGUAUUCCGGCGGGCAUGCCUGUUCGAGCGUCAUUUCAACCCUCAAGCCCCCGGGUUUGGUGUUGGGGAUCGGCUCUGCCCUUCUGGGCGGUGCCGCCCCCGAAAUACAUUGGCGGUCUCGCUGCAGCCUCCAUUGCGUAGUAGCUAACACCUCGCAACUGGAACGCGGCGCGGCCAUGCCGUAAAACCCCAACUUCUGAAUGUUGACCUCGGAUCAGGUAGGAAUACCCGCUGAACUUAAGCAUAUCAAUAAGCGGAGGA